rnacentral:tRNA from 1 species
AAGACACUAGUAAAAUAUUACACUGCCUUGUCAAGACAGAAUUGUAGGUUAAAAUCCUGCGUGCCUUA